rnacentral:piRNA from 1 species
UACCUGAACAGCAGGUUAGAGCUGG